rnacentral:rRNA from 1 species
GAUGAACGCUAGCUACAGGCUUAACACAUGCAAGUCGAGGGGCAUCAGGAAGAAAGCUUGCUUUCUUUGCUGGCGACCGGCGCACGGGUGAGUAACACGUAUCCAACCUGCCCUUUACUCGGGGAUAGCCUUUCGAAAGAAAGAUUAAUACCCGAUGGCAUAAUGAUUCCGCAUGGUUUCAUUAUUAAAGGAUUCCGGUAAAGGAUGGGGAUGCGUUCCAUUAGGUUGUUGGUGAGGUAACGGCUCACCAAGCCUUCGAUGGAUAGGGGUUCUGAGAGGAAGGUCCCCCACAUUGGAACUGAGACACGGUCCAAACUCCUACGGGAGGCAGCAGUGAGGAAUAUUGGUCAAUGGGCGCUAGCCUGAACCAGCCAAGUAGCGUGAAGGAUGAAGGCUCUAUGGGUCGUAAACUUCUUUUAUAUAAGAAUAAAGUGCAGUAUGUAUACUGUUUUGUAUGUAUUAUAUGAAUAAGGAUCGGCUAACUCCGUGCCAGCAGCCGCGGUAAUACGGAGGAUCCGAGCGUUAUCCGGAUUUAUUGGGUUUAAAGGGAGCGUAGGUGGACUGGUAAGUCAGUUGUGAAAGUUUGCGGCUCAACCGUAAAAUUGCAGUUGAUACUGUCAGUCUUGAGUACAGUAGAGGUGGGCGGAAUUCGUGGUGUAGCGGUGAAAUGCUUAGAUAUCACGAAGAACUCCGAUUGCGAAGGCAGCUCACUGGACUGCAACUGACACUGAUGCUCGAAAGUGUGGGUAUCAAACAGGAUUAGAUACCCUGGUAGUCCAAGGGCGAAUUCCACAUUGGGCUGCAGCCCGGGGGAUCCACUAGUUCUAGAGCGGCCGCACCGCGAGAGCUCCA